GAUGAACGCUAGCGGCAGGCUUAAUACAUGCAAGUCGAGGGGCAGCACGUUUCGCAGCAAUGCGGGAUGGUGGCGACCGGCAAACGGGUGAGGAUCGCGUACACAAUCUUCCCAGAGCAGGGGGAUAACCCGGGGAAACCCGGACUAAUACCCAGUAGUUUACUUUGUAGGCGUCUUUGAGGUAAUAAAACUCCGGUGGCUUUGGAUGAGGGUGCGUCACAUUAGGUAGUUGGCAGGGUAACGGCCUACCAAGCCUUCGAUGGGUAACUGGUGUGAGAGCACGACCCGUCAGACGGGCACUGAGGCACGGGCCCGACUCCUACGGGAGGCAGCAGUAAGGAAUAUUAGGCAAGGGACGCAAGUCCGAACCAGCCAUGCCGCGUGAAGGAGGAAGGUCCUCUGGAUUGUAAACUUCUUUUAAAGGGGGCGAAAAAAGGGUUUUUUAACUCACUUGACGGUACCUUAUGAAUAAGCACCGGCUAACUCCGUG
rnacentral:rRNA from 1 species